rnacentral:misc_RNA from 1 species
GAACGCACCUUGCGCUCCUUGGUAUUCCGAGGAGCAUGCCUGUUUGAGUGUCAUUAAAUCCUCAACCUCAUAUUCCUUGUGAACAUGAAGUUGGAUGUGGAGGUUUGCUGGCUUCACCGUCAGCUCUUCUGAAAUGCAUUAGCAGGGCCGCUGUAUUGCGAGGCUGUUGCUUGGUAUUGAUAGUUGUCUUACCAGGUGUCAGAGUUAGCAAUGUGCCCCAGCUUCUAGUCGUCUCUCUGGGACAACAACUUGACGAUUUGACCUCAAAUCAGGUAGGACUACCCGCUGAACUUA